UGUUAAAAUUUUAUCCAUUUUCACGGCUAAAAAUUAGCGUGGCUGACAGAUUUACCAAAUAGUUACACUUGGUCUAUCACAUGUGCCUCAUUUUGACGUGCAAUGACUGAUUUUUAAUAAUAGAAAUUGAUGAAACUUUUUACA
rnacentral:pre_miRNA from 1 species